GGAAGGGUGGCCGAGUGGUCGAAGGCGCACGACUGGAAAUCGUGUAGGGUGUAACAGCCCUCGAGGGUUCGAAUCCCUCCUCUUCCGCCA
rnacentral:tRNA from 1 species